CCUACGGGGGGCAGCAGUGGGGGAUAUUGCACAAUGGGGGGAACCCUGAUGCAGCGACGCCGCGUGGGUGAAGGAGCGUUUCGGCGCGUAAAGCCCUAUCGGCAGGGAAGAAGAUGACGGUACCUGGCCAAGAAGCCCCGGCUAACUACGUGCCAGCAGCCGCGGUAAUACGUAGGGGGCAAGCGUUAUCCGGAUUUACUGGGGGUAAAGGGGGCGCAGACGGCAAUGCAAGCCAGGAGUGAAAGCCCGGGGCCCAACCCCGGGACUGCUCUUGGAACUGCAUGGCUGGAGUACAGGAGGGGCAGGCGGAAUGCCUAGUGUAGCGGUGAAAUGCGUAGAUAUUAGGAGGAACACCGGUGGCGAAGGCGGCCUGCUGGACUGUGACUGACGUUGAGGCCCGAAGGCGUGGGGAGCAAACAGGAUUAGAUACCCUAGUAGUC
rnacentral:rRNA from 1 species